CCUACGGUGGGCAGCAGUGAGGAAUAUUGGUCAAUGGGCUUACGCCUGAACCAGCCAAGUCGCGUGAGGGAAGACUGCCCUAUGGGUUGUAAACCUCUUUUGUCAGGGAGCAAUAAUGGUCCCGUGUGGCCAGACGAGAUUACCGUACGAAUAAGCAUCGGUUAACUCCGUGCCAGCAUCCGCGGUAAUACGGGGGAUGCAAGCGUUAUCCGGAUUUAUUGGGGUUAUAGGGUGAGUAGGCUGUGAGGUAAGUCAGCGGUGAACUGCCCCCGCUCAACGGGGUGAAGUGCCAUUGAUACUGCCUUGCUGGAAUGCGGAUGCCGUGGGAGGAAUGUGUGGUGUAGCGGUGAAAUGCAUAGAUAUCACACAGAACACCGAUUGCGAAGGCAUCUCACGAAUCCGCGAUUGACGCUGAUGCACGAAAGCGUGGGUAUCAAACAGGAUGAGAUACCCGAAUAGUC
rnacentral:rRNA from 1 species